rnacentral:rRNA from 1 species
GGGAGGUAGUGACAAUAAAUACCUUACAGAGGUCUCGUUAACCGAGAUCUCUCAAACGGAAUGAGUACAACGUGAAUCCUUUAACGAGGAUCGACUGGAGGGCAAGCCUGGUGCCAGCAGCCGCGGUAAUUCCAGCUCCAGUAGCGUAUAUUAAAGCUGUUGCGGUUAAAAAGCUCGUAGUUGGAUAUCAGUGCGUGUCCGGUCCGGUAUGCCUGGCGCUGUCGCUCACGCGGCAAUGCUGGGCUCCCAAAUAUCGGCUGGCCGCAUUCAAUCGUGCCGGAUCCGUCGACGGGCCGUUCUUCGGAGGGGCCUGUUGGCGACCGGCGACGUUACCUUGAACAAAUUAGAGUGCUCAAAGCAGGCUCUGAAUGCCUGUAUACAUAUUCAUGGAAUUGGAGAAUACGUCCCUGGCUCGAUUUGGUUGGUUUUGAGAGUCGAAGGGAAAUGAUUAAUAGGGACUGACGGAGGCAUUCGUAUUGCGACGCGAGGGGUGAAAUCCUGUGACCGUCGCACGACGAACUACUGCGAAAGCAUUUGCCGAGAAUGUUUUCAUUAGUCAAGAACGAAAGUUAGAGGUUCGAAGGCGAUCAGAUACCGCCCUAGUUCUAACCGUAAACGAUGUCGACCAGCAAUCCGCAACGGUCACUACACGGACUGUGCGGGCAGCUUCCCCGGGGAAACCAGAGUUUUUGGACUCCGGGGGAAGUAUGGUUGCAAAGCUGAAACUUAAAGGAAUUGACGGAAGGGCACCACCAGGAGUGGAGCUUGCGGCUUAAUUUGACUCAACACGGGACAACUCACCAGGCCCGGACACCGUAAGGAUUGACAGACUGAUAGCUCUCUCUUGAUUCAGUGGGUGGUGGUGCAUGGCCGUUCUUAGUUGGUGGAGUGAUUUGUCUGGUUUAUUCCGAUAACGAACGAGACUCUGGCCUAUUAAACUUGACGCUGUCAGUCUCUUGUGACUGCGGCGCGC